CUUGUCAACAAGAUGUGUUCUUAACAAACUUGUAGCAAGCUUGUUAACAACAUUGUCACAACUUGUCAACGACCUGGCUAUAAACCUAUUGCAAACACAGUUUGUUGACAUGUUGUUGGAACAGCAUUGUCACAACUUGUUAACAAGCUUGUUAACAACACGUCUUGUUGACAAGUUUCUGGAACAGCAUUGUCACAACUUGUUAACAAGCUUGCUACAAGCUUGUUAAGAACACAUAUUGUCGACAAG